rnacentral:rRNA from 12 species
AUUAAUUAAAGCAUUAAAGGGAUACCUUGGUAAAAGAUUCUUUUGGAUGUUUAAAAACAAAAAUGUUUGGUGAGUUUUAGUACUGAGACCCAAACAUAUCCAAUAAAAAAAAUUUUUCUCUUGGAAUUUUUUAGAAAAAGUGAAUUGAAACAUCUUAGUAACUUUAGAAAAAAAUCAAACGAGAUUUUGAAAGUAGUGGCGAGCGAAAUCAAAAAAGGGGUAAAAUUUGUUAAUUAUGAGAUCCACGAAUAAAAAAAUUAUUCUCAUUGAAACUAUUUGAAGUUUUUAAUUCACCUAAGAAGGUUCGAGUCCUGUAAAAUAGUUUGUUACAAAUUUUAAAGUAAAAGAAACUUUCUUCUUUGAAAAUUGGGGAACCACCCUCAAACCCUUAAUAUUAAUCUUUUAACCGAUAGUAAACAAGUACUGUGAAGGAAAGGGUAACGUACACUUGUACGUUUGAAAUUUAAUGCUGGCAAUCAGUUGAAGCUUUUUAAAAGUAACAACGUACCUUUUGCAUAAUGGGUCAGCGAGUUUUUUGUUAAAGGCAAGCUUAAAAUAAAAGGAAGCGAAGAAAAUACGAAUUUUAAAUAAUUUGAGUCUUUACAAAAAAACCCGAAACUGAGUGAUCUAACCUUGAACAGGCUGAAGGCAGAGUGGUAACAUUCGCUGAAGGGCCGAACCCGUGUCUGUGGCAACAUACUGGGAUGAUUUGAGGUUAGGAGUGAAAGGCUAAUCAAACUCAGAGAUAGCUGGUUUUCUGCGAAAUCUAUUUAAGUAGACCGAUUUGAUUGAAAGGAGUGGGGUAGAGCACUUUUUAGAUGAGGGGGCUUAUUAGCUUACUGAGUUUAAGAAAACUCCGAAUACACGACUUGAAAAACCAAAUUAGACAGACUAUGGGUGCUAAGGUCCAUAGUCAAAAGGGAAACAGCCCUCAUUGAUCGUUAAGGUCCAUAAAAAUCUUUUAGUUUAAGGAAGUCAUAGAGCGAAAAUAACUAGUAGGUAGGCUUGGAAGCAGCCAUCCUUGAAAGAAAUCGUAACAGAUCACCAGUCGAGUUUUGUGGCACCGAAAAUUUACUGGGUUUAAAAGAUUUACCGAAACGGCAAACUUUUUUAAGUGGUAGCAGAACGUUCUGUAAAAUUAAAGAAGGAAAUUUGUAAAAAUUUCUCGAAAGAUCAGAAGUGACGAUGCUGACAUGAGUAACAAGAAACAGUGUGUUUGAAUCACUGUGGGUGAAAAUCCAAGGGUUUUGACGGAAGGAUUCUCCACGUCAAUUCCUCUUUGUGAGGAAAAAUUAGACGGUCCCUAAGAGUAUUUCUGAAAAGAAAUCUUGAUGGGUUAAAAAUUUUUUUUCUUUUUAAAAAAUGACAAUUUUGAAAAAUGAUUUUAUUUUCGUAGACUUAAAAUAAAGUCAUUGAAAAAAUUCAGGAAAUAAUUUUUUAAAUUUUUUAAAACCGUACCCGAAACCGACUCUGGUGGAUAGGUUGAGUAAACCCAACCCUAUGAGAGAAUGAUGUUGAAGGAACUCGGCAAAAUGAUUCCGUAACUUCGGGAGAAGGAAUAACUUAACCAGGGCAACCUGGUUGAGUUGUCACAAAAUUGGGGGUAGCGACUGUUUAAUAAAAACACAGGUCUCUGCAAAUUUGUAAAAAGAUGUAUAGAGACUGACACCUGCCCGGUGCUGUAAGGUUAAACAAAAAAUGUUUUGGCAUUUUUUAUAAGUCUCAGUAAACGGCGGCUGUAACUCUGACGGUCCAAAGGUAGCGAAAUUCCUUGUCGGGUAAGUUCCGACCUGCAUGAAUGGUGUAACGACUUCCCCGCUGUCUCCAACAUCAACUCAGUGAAAUUGAAAUACCCGUGAAGAUGCGGGUUGUUUACAGCUAGACGGAAAGACCCCGUGCACCUUUACUAUAACUAAAAAUUGAAGAACUUAUUUUUCUGUGUAGAAUAAGUGGGAGUUGUUAAUCUCUUUACGCAAGUAAACUGGGAAGACGUUCGUGAAAUACCACUCUUAAACAUGAGAACUUCUAACUUUUGGACAGUUUUUAGUGGGUAGUUUGACUGGGGCGGUCACCUCCUAAAAAGUAACGGAGGUGUACAAAGGUAAGUUUGAAUUGGUCAACAAUCAAUUUUAAAAUGCAAUGGUGAAAACUUGCUUAACUGUAAGACAGACACGUCAAACAGAAACGAAAGUUGGUCAUAGUGAUCCGGUGAGAUUCAGUGGAAAACUCAUCGCUCAACGAAUAAAAGGUACGCCGGGGAUAACAGGCUGAUGACUCCCUAGAGCUCUUAUCGACGGAGUCGUUUGGCACCUCGAUGUCGGCUCAUCACAUCCUGGAGCUGAAGAAGGUUCCAAGGGUUCGGCUGUUCGCCGAUUAAAGUGGUACGCGAGCUGGGUUUAGAACGUCGUGAGACAGUUUGGUCCCUAUCUACUGUAAAUGUAAGAAAAUUGUGAGAACUAGACCCUAGUACGAGAGGACCAGGAAAAGUAAACCUCUGGUGUACCGGUUGUUUUUUCUUAAAGCACCGCCGGGUAGCUAAGUUUAUGUAUGAGAAUCACUGAAACCAUAUAAGUGAGAAACUGCGCUCAAAACAAAUUUUCUAUAAAUCGUGUUAAAGACGAUAACACAAAUAGGCUUGAUGUGUAAGUUUUGUAAAAAAUUGAGCAAACAAGUCCUAAUGGAUGAA